CGUAGUGCCUCCUCCAAACACGAAAUAAAAUAUAUGACGCUUAGGUUCAUUCCCUUUCUUCCAAAUCCAUCAAAUUUUGAUCGACGAUGAAGAAUUCCGACAACAAACGGCUUCUCGUGAUACGUAGCUGUGGAAAGUCGGGUAAGUAUCAAUUUACCGCUCUUUCUCCGCGAGAUUUAUCUAAAAUCGGUGACGAAAGUUUCGACCUUCCUUUUCUGUAUCCAAGGCCAGAAAUUUCUUUUAACAGUUACCGGGAUUGGUUAUGUAUCUACGAAAAUGGAGGCCAUAUUUAUCUUUGGAACCCCACAACCAAACAGUUUCUGUUCUUUCCUACCAAGGAAGUCUCUGUAUUUGAUGAGAGGAAGACCUCGUUGGUUGGUGCUUGUGUCUCUUAUGAUUCUGAUUCAAAGGAUUACAAAAUCCUAAGAGUUUGUGAAGGUGAUUUUCCAGAGGGAUCCUUUUCUAGGAUGUCCCAAACUUUUGAGUUGUAUUCGUUCCGUGAGGAUUCUUGGAACGAAAUUCCCUUUGAUAAUCUUAAAGAUGUAUAUAUGUCUGGGUUUAGAGCUACAUCUGUUAGCGGUAAAUUUUAUUGGCUUAAUUUGUGUGACCGAAUUGUAUCGUUGGAUUGUAUUGAGAAAACCUUAUCUUACAUUGAUUUACCACUACAGCGUCGUCCCUUUGAAUUUGGUAACCUUGUCCAGUUUAAUGGUGGAGAUUCCUUAGGUGUUGUUUGCAUUUGGGAUCGACAUCCUAAACCCGGUGCUGAUUAUGAGCUCUGGGUAUGGAGUGAAAAUCCAAAGGGGUGGGAUAUAAAGUUUCGUGUGUCUCUUGGUGGCGCUGUGGGUAGACCACCGGGGACUAUAUACGGAACAUUCUUGUUUCUUUGUGGAAUGGCUGGCCAACCGGGUGAUGAUGAACAUCGUCUAGUAGCUUACGAUUGGACUAAAAAAGACUGCAAGGAACUCGGCAUUCGUAAUUAUGGCUCUAAAAUCCAUGUCCUUUGUUAUGUUGAGGGCACCGAUGUGCUGCCCCAUGGAAAGCCAAUCAAUGGAUCCUCAUUUCUUAUUAAUCCUCAUUUUGUCAAGGGGCCCGAGCGGUUCAGAAACUGCAACCGUUGCAAUUGCAAUUGUCAUUUCGUGGGCAAGGUUCCCGGGAUCAAGAUUUUAGAAUGCAAGUGUUCUCAACCUUACCACGAUGCCUACAAGUUUGAUAUUGAAGAUUUUGCUGAGAAUGGAUUCCGCAUCCUUAAUGAUACAGAGGAGGAGGAGGAGGUUGGUCCUGAUAUAUCAAAGAAGCAAUUGGCCCUUAAACCAAGUGCUGGAAAUCCUGAUGCACAAGGGGGAAAAAAAAAGAAAAAAAAGAAAAACACCUGAUGCACAGGGAAACAUCUCUAGACAUCAUCUGUUUAAGAGAAGGUAGAGAGAGUGUCAUAGCAUCUUUUUUUCUAAUGCGUGAACUCUUGAAGAAACAACUGGAGAAAACGAGAAAUCAGAGGGACAAACUGGAAUCGCUGUGCGAUCACUCCAAGCAGAGCGGAAGAGAAAUUCAGCUGCAAGCAAUAGCUCGCACAGGAUUCCAUACUUAGUAAUGAACUCAGCUGUUUGGAUUGGUAUAAACUAGAUGUGGAUUCCAAGUGUUGAUGAUGUUAAAAUAUGCCAAUAAUUAAGGUUGUUCUAACAAAUUUUGUUGGCAGAGUUGAGUGAAUUUUUGGUGUUUCAGAACCGAGUUGCAAAAACUAUCUUUAUUAUGUUGCAAGAACUAUCUUUAUUUCAUAAGUUUUGUUACGUCCUUCAGAA